rnacentral:lncRNA from 1 species
GCCGCGCCUGAGCCCCCCGCCCGGCGCCCCGCAUCCCUCUCCUCUGAGCGCCGCACCCCCCGGGGCCCCUCGUCCCCCCUUCGCCUCGCGUCUCCUUGCAUCUCAGGCACCCCGCAACCCGGAGCGUCCCGCGCCCCCGCGCCACACAUACCCCUGCGCCUGUGCACUCUGCGUCCCACCUGCGCCCGCUGUCCCCCCACGCCCUGAGCGUUCCGCAUCCCCCUGUGCCUGGCACCUCCGUGAGCCCCUUGUUUCACCUGCGCCCGAGGUCCCCCGGCACUCCUUGCACCCCGCCACCCGGAGCCCCCGAGGCCGCGUCCCAGCCCACGCACCCAGCCUCACCUCUGGUGCGCACGCCUUCUGGCAGCGCGGCUGCAGAGCCAGAGCAAGCCGCGGGGCUCCUUCCCCUCCUCCAGCUGGCCGCUAGGGCAGGUGCGGCGCUCCCGAGAUGCGCGGGCAGCCACGGAACAGGUGACAGUGGAGAGGCCCACCAAUCGAAGGCCGACCCUGCCCUUCGACCCGAUUCCUACACCAGGAUGCCCAGAUCCAGAAUGCAUCGGGUGAGCUGUUUCCUUCCCGCCUCAUCGGCUUGUCUGCACUUUCCCAGGAUGAGAGGGUGACUCACAUGUGAUGUAUCUAGUCCAAGGCUUCUCAGAGCUCCUGUCUCGAGUCGAUAUAUUAUACUAUUGAGGGGAGAAUAGCAACACGUUUUAGGCGUUGUGCUGACAGCCGGGGAAUAGAUGAUGCCGCCAGGAGGACCAGGAGUGAGCACGAUGAGUGUGUUGCUUUGUUCGCGUAGCUAGCUGGUUGACCCUGCUGCUCCUUCAGCUGGAGCAAAAUAAAUACUCCUGUAAUAAUUGGUAAAUGGGUUUA